CACACUUUUAACGGAUUUUAAUGACAGCAAAACGCUUCCGCGAUUGCUGUCGUUAAACUCAGUUUGCCGUUCGUUUGUCCGUUUUUACCAAAUGUUUUAGUGUUUAUUAUGUGAAUGUCGACGUCUCGUGUUGUAUGUUCGUCCUAACUGAUUUGUGUGAUUUUAACGCCGGAUUAAUUUGCAAACAUUUUAACUGGAAAGGAGCUGUCAUUAAGAUGCACCGAACUAACCUUUAGAUGGAGCCUUCAUAAAAUGAAUUUUAUCAAAAAGUAGAACAACUGGAUCCCACAUAGAUUAAGUAGAAAAUUAAAUUAGGCAUUUGAUAAUUACCAAUUCUUUCAGAUAUUGCAACUAUUAACCUAAGUGUGGACAAUGGAUUGAAGCUAGUAAUUCCUAUGGAAAAAUGUCUAAAAAGAGUCGCUUAAUGUUUUACGUAAGUGAUCAAAUUCUUGAAAAAUUUGCUCAAGGACGACUUAGGUAAUGGCAAAGGCAUCAUCAAAAUAACGAAAAACCAUACGUCGCAUUAGAAACUAGUAGAAAGUUUCAAAAUGUUAAAUGGGAUGUUCUACCUCAACUCUACAAACAUAUAAUCCAAAUGUAUAUUCAUGUAUCUAUUAUUUAUUUUUUUUACAUUUAAUUAUGAAGAACAAAUCAA